GGCUCAGGAUGAACGCUAGCGACAGGCCCAACACAUGCAAGUCAGGGGCAGCACAAGGAGCAAUCUGAGGUGGCGACCGGCGCACGGGUGAGUAACACGUAUGCAACCUGCCUGUAAGCGGGGAAUAACCCGUUGAAAGACGGACUAAUACCGCAUAAUACUAAAUUACUGCAUGGUAAUUUAUUUAAACAUUUAUGGCUUACAGAUGGGCAUGCGCAUGAUUAGCUAGUUGGAGAGGUAACGGCUCCCCAAGGCAACGAUCAUUAGGGGUUCUGAGAGGAAGGUCCCCCCACACUGGUACUGAGACACGGACCAGACUCCUACGGGAGGCAGCAGUGAGGAAUAUUGGUCAAUGGACGAGAGUCUGAACCAGCCAAGUCGCGUGCAGGAAGAAUUGUCCUAUGGAUUGUAAACUGCUUUUGCAGGGGAAUAAAGUGCAUCACGUGUGAUGUUUUGUAUGUACUCUGCGAAUAAGGAUCGGCUAACUCCGUGCCAGCCGCCGC
rnacentral:rRNA from 1 species